CAGCCAUGCCGCGUGUGUGAAGAAGGCCUUUUGGUUGUAAAGCACUUUAAGCGAGGAGGAGGCUACUCUAGUUAAUACCUAGAGAUAGUGGACGUUACUCGCAGAAUAAGCACCGGCUAACUCUGUGCCAGCAGCCGCGGUAAUACAGAGGGUGCAAGCGUUAAUCGGAUUUACUGGGCGUAAAGCGCGCGUAGGUGGCCAAUUAAGUCAAAUGUGAAAUCCCCGAGCUUAACUUGGGAAUUGCAUUCGAUACUGGUUGGCUAGAGUAUGGGAGAGGAUGGUAGAAUUCCAGGUGUAGCGGUGAAAUGCGUAGAGAUCUGGAGGAAUACCGAUGGCGAAGGCAGCCAUCUGGCCUAAUACUGACACUGAGGUGCGAAAGCAUGGGGAGCAAACAGGAUUAGAUACCCUGGUAGUCCAUGCCGUAAACGAUGUCUACUAGCCGUUGGGGCCUUUGAGGCUUUAGUGGCGCAGCUAACGCGAUAAGUAGACCGCCUGGGGAGUACGGUCGCAAGACUAUAACUCA
rnacentral:rRNA from 1 species